CAAGAAGUUCAUAAUAGGAAGUUGUGAUACAAAGCUCCUAGAACUGCUGGAUUGUAGAGAUUGCUCAACUCUUGGGCGUUGUAUGCUUAUGUAAGGUCCAUUAUUAAGCGACAGCAACUGCAGUUCAUAAAAAUCGAAUCAGUCUGGAUCCUAUAUUUUUGACAGCUGAAGCUUCAUCUGGAUGUUUUUAUGCAGUCAAUAGGCGUGGUCAGGUGUUACUUGCCACUGUAAAUGAACAAACAAUUGUACCUUUUGUUAGUGCUCAGUUAAACAAUUUCGGACUCGCAGUUAGUCUUGCCAGAAGAGGAAAUCUUCCUGGUGCUGAAGACUUGGUUGUCUAGCAGUUCCAAGAAUUGUUUUGAAACAUUGUUCUUCAUUUAUAUGAUGUGCAAUCUUUGUAGCAAGAACUAAUUUGCUCAUCCAAUUUUCUUGCACGGUGUUCCUGUGCAAGCUGGGCAAACACCACCAUUGUUGCAAUACUUUGGAACUUUGUUACUAUAGGAAAACUCAACACUUUUGAAUCAUUGGAAUUGCCAUGUUUGGUUGUAAAUCAAAACAAGAAGCAUCUUUUGGAGAAUUGGCUAGCGGAGGACAAGCUUGAAUGUAGCGAAGAGCUAACUUUUUCGAUAAUUUCAGGACGACAAAGUUUCUAGAUGAAGAAAUUGAAGAGGACAAGAUGUUCUGGAAUCAGGAGGCUCUUAAAGAGGAGGAAGAAGAUGAUAACUAUGAAGUGGAGCUGAAAGUUACUGAUUUGUUUGAUAAUGACUUUGUGAAAGAUAAUAUCUCUUGCAAGGCAAUAGAUUGUGUUAAUAUUAAUUAUAGCUGGCUUAAUACUAUCAGUUCCUAAGCUGGAUUGAGCGAUGCUGUGAUUUGGUGUUGAAGCAUCUUUCAGUCAUGCAGAAACAAAGAUGCUGAUGAAAAAAGUUGAUGCAUUGAUGAAAGCCAUGGAGCAGAGUCUAUAGAAAUGAAGAGAGAAACCGUAGCUAAAGAUAAAGAAGCUGCAGCAGCCAAGGUGGAUGCUGACAAAAAGAACAUAAUUAUAAACUCAUCUAAGAGGUUAUAAUUACUUUUCAACAGCCUCAAUACCAUUCUUUCCUUUUGUAUGAUGCUUCUGUAGCAGCAUCCCUUUCAAAUAUUAAAAUUUUUCAGAUCUGAUCACCUGAAUAUAUGAUUGAUUUUAUA